UACAGAGGGUGCGAGCGUUAAUCGGAAUUACUGGGCGUAAAGCGUGCGUAGACGGCUAUCUAAGUCGGGUGUGAAAGCCCCGGGCUCAACCUGGGAAUUGCAUUCGAGACUGAAUAGCUAGGGUACGGUAGAGGGAAGUGGAAUUUCCGGUGUAGCGGUGAAAUGCGUAGAUAUCGGAAGGAACAUCAGUGGCGAAAGCGACUUCCUGGACCAGUACCGACGUUCAGGCACGAAAGCGUGGGGAGCAAACAGG
rnacentral:rRNA from 1 species